UGAUUGCCUAUCUCGAUCUCACACGCAGCAAGUAGAUAAAACAUGUCAGUUAAGAAAAUGGCAGUCCAAUACAAGUUGCCACACGAGAUGUGCAGAACUAGGCAUGCAAAAAUAUAUGACAAAAGUGAACAUAAUUACCUUUUCUAUCUUCAGUCACCAAACCAGUAGCCUUCCGUUUCUUAACCAUCGCUAUUUCCCUCUGAGAUGCAAAAACCAAAUAAAAAUGAAAAACAAAUAUGCACCUAUUUUGAAAAAAUGAAGAAAGCAAGGCAUAAAUCGAUAAAACAACCCGCCUAAGAAAACUCAUUAUGUAAAUGGAAAUAAUUGCCAUCUAAAAAUACAUAAGUUGCCAUAUCUAUUUGAACAUAGUUGACAUCUAUUUGGACAUAAUUACCACAUCUAUUUGGACUAUGCCAUGAAAGACCAGAUAACCAAAAAAAAGAGCCAAUCCAUCCCAAACUCCCACCUAAAUAAUGACAAAUAAGUAAUAAUAUAUCCCCCUCCCCCGUCCACUUGCACAUAAAUUGCCGCCUAACAAGGACAUAAAACGCCAUAUCUGAUUUGUGCUACAACAAAAAACAAAUUGACCCAAAUCUUAAUCCAAAUACAUUCCCAAACUUCCCGCUAACUAAAGUUGAACAUGCAGUAAAUUACCACCCUUUUGCACAUGAACAUGCCACAUAACAAGUGAAUAAGUUGCCAUAUUAUGUCAUAUUUGAGCCAAUCUGUGCAAAAAUCACUAUUUGGACAUAUAUAACUGCCAACUAAGAAUACAAAAAUAUGAUUGCACUAUGCAAUGAAAGGAGGAUAACCAAAAAUUGAGCCAAUCCAUCCACAAACUCCCACCUAAGCAUAUGCGAUAAUUUACGACAAACACAAUUAAACACAAAAUUUCGAUUCCAAUCCAUCCCAAAACUGCCAAUUAAACUUUGCCAUAUAAAAGUGGCCUUAUUCUAUCAUAUUUCAGCCAAUCAAACCCAAUGCACACUAAGUUGCCACGAGUGGCCCCUUGUAGUUGCCACCACACUGGGUAACAAAUUGAAUGUUAAUGUAAAAAACAACAUGCACGCUACAAAUUACCCUGCAAAAAUAAGACC
rnacentral:lncRNA from 1 species